CACAGCGACUUCAGGUAGUCUCGGUCUUAGCGGAGUCCGCGGACUUUCUUGUCCUUCUGCGUAGUGCACUAACUGAGCGACCAAUUGAUAACCUAAGUUUAGCUGAUCUUUUUAUUGAAUUAAUUAAAACUGUUUUGAAAUCUAUUCUGUAAGAGCCUGAGAAAAAUUGCGGCCACAGAAGCUGUUUUGAAAUGCGCUUGGCUUCCGACUUCCGCAAGGGGAGGCAGCUGUUUCUUGUAGUCUUGCUCUGUCACCUACACUGGAAUGCAGUGGCACAGUCUCAGCUCAGUUCACUGCAAUCUCCACCUCCCAGAUUCAAGUGAUUCUCAUACCUCAGCCUCCUGAGUAGCUGGGAUUACAGAGACCUGGACUUAAUUUCAGCUGGUGUACAGAGUUCUCUCCAAAAACAAGUGGCCUACUUCACAUUCAGUGAAUUGAUAUAUUCUUAUUUUAAGUU